CAGAGGCUGCUGCCUGUCAUCAAGAUAUCUAGGACAGCUCUGUUGAACAGCUGCAGACUCACAGAUACAUGCUGUGAAGUGUUGGCUUCAGCUCUCAGAUCAAACUCCUCUCAGCUGACAGACCUGGACCUGAGUGACAAUAAGCUGCAGGAUUCUGGAGUGAAGCUGCUCUCUGCUGGACUGGGGGAUUCACACUGUAAACUGGAGACACUAAGGCUGUCAUUCUGUAGAGUGACACAAGAAGGCUGUUCUUCCCUGGCUUCAGCUCUGAGGACAAACUCCUCACACCUGAGAGAGCUGGACCUGAGCUACAAUGACCUGCAAGAUUCAGGGGUGAAGCUGCUCUCUGCUGGACUGGGGG